rnacentral:rRNA from 1 species
GACGAACGCUGGCGGCGUGCCUAACACAUGCAAGUCGAACGGAAAGACGCUGCUUUUGUGGGGUGCUCGAUUGCCGAACGGGUGAGUAACACGUGAGUAACACGCCCUUGUCUUUGUGAUAACUCCAGGAAACUGGGGCUAAUACCGGAUAUGAGCUCUUGCUGCAUGGGGGGGGUUGGAAAGUUUCGGCGGUUGGGGAUGGUUUAGCGGCUUAUGAGCUUGUUGGUCGGGUAGUUGCUUACAAAGGCUUCGACGGGUAGCCGGCCUGAGAGGGUGACCAGCCACAUUGGGACUGAGAGACGGACCAGACUCGUACGUGAGGCAGCAGUGGGGAGUCUUGCACAGCGGGGGGAAGCCUGAUGCAGCAACGCCGCGUGCGGGAUGACGGGCUUCGGGUGGUAAACCGCUGUCGACUGAAACGAAGCGGGAGUGACGGUAAUGGGUAAAGAAGCACCGGCUAACUACGUG